GACAGAGGGUGCAAACGUUGUCCGGAAUUAUUGGGCGUAAAGAGCUCGUAGGCGGUCUGUCGCGUCUGCUGUGAAAACUCGGGGCUUAACCCCGGGCCUGCAGUGGGUACGGGCAGACUAGAGUGCGGUAGGGGAGACUGGAAUUCCUGGUGUAGCGGUGAAAUGCGCAGAUAUCAGGAGGAACACCGGUGGCGAAGGCGGGUCUCUGGGCCGUAACUGACGCUGAGGAGCGAAAGCGUGGGGAGCGAACAGG
rnacentral:rRNA from 1 species